rnacentral:rRNA from 1 species
GAUGAACGCUGGCGGCGUGCCUAAUACAUGCAAGUCGAGCGAACAGACGAGGAGCUUGCUCCUCUGACGUUAGCGGCGGACGGGUGAGUAACACGUGGAUAACCUACCUAUAAGACUGGGAUAACUUCGGGAAACCGGAGCUAAUACCGGAUAAUAUAUUGAACCGCAUGGUUCAAUAGUGAAAGACGGUUUUGCUGUCACUUAUAGAUGGAUCCGCGCCGCAUUAGCUAGUUGGUAAGGUAACGGCAUACCAAGGCAACGAUGCGUAGCCGACCUGAGAGGGUGAUCGGCCACACUGGAACUGAGACACGGUCCAGACUCCUACGGGAGGCAGCAGUAGGGAAUCUUCCGCAAUGGGCGAAAGCCUGACGGAGCAACGCCGCGUGAGUGAUGAAGGUCUUCGGAUCGUAAAACUCUGUUAUUAGGGAAGAACAAAUGUGUAAGUAACUAUGCACGUCUUGACGGUACCUAAACAGAAAGCCACGGCUAACUACGUG